rnacentral:rRNA from 1 species
AUGAACGCUGGCGGCGUGCUUAACACAUGCAAGUCGAAUGUAGUUUACUACAUGGCGGACGGGUGAGUAACGCGUGAGCAAUCUGUCCAUAUCAGGGGGAUAACAGUUGGAAACGACUGAUAAUACCGCAUAAUAUUGUUGGAAGGCAUCUUCCGACAAUCAAAGAUUUAUCGGAUAUGGAUGAGCUCGCGUCUGAUUAGCUUGUUGGUGAGGUAACGGCUCACCAAGGCGACGAUCAGUAGCCGACCUGAGAGGGUGAUCGGCCACAUUGGGACUGAGACACGGCCCAAACUCCUACGGGAGGCAGCAGUGGGGAAUAUUGGUCAAUGGAGGAAACUCUGAACCAGCAACGCCGCGUGAAUGAUGAAGGUCUUCGGAUUGUAAAGUUCUUUUCUAAGGGAAGAAGAUAGUGACGGUACCUUAGGAAUAAGCCUCGGCUAACUACGUGCCAGCAGCCGCGGUAAUACGUAGGAGGCAAGCGUUAUCCGGAAUGACUGGGCGUAAAGGGUG